UCCAGUUGCCACAAACCUUAGUUGCGAAGUCUGUGUGUAGAUUUGAGAAGAAGUUUUGGUCGUUUUUAAUAAGAUAACGCCAUAAAAGUCAUGACUAAGAAUGGAACGUGGUGAACUACACGCUAGGCUCUCGUCAGGACCUCCCAGUGCUACCAUGAACUAAGUUGUUCCUGCCAUGGCCUCCAGCACGGCUGCCAGGACCAGGUACCCCAGCGGGGACCCUCGGGACAGGCAGGGCAACAGGUCUGCCAGGGACGACAACAAAAAACUCAGUAAAACUGCUUCAGCUGUGCCCAGAAACAGCACUGACAGCACCCGUAGAGAUGCAGCUGCAGCUACAGGAACAGCACCUGGCAACAAGGGGGAGGAGGGGAGUGGACAGCAGGGUGACACAGCUGCAGAUAACAGCAAAGGAGAGACAGCAGCCUCCAGGAGAAGCAGUGCUGGCAGUCAGGGAGCAGGAGAGCAGAAGACCACUGGGAUAUAUGCUAAUGCAGCAGGCACAAGGCCUCCAGUGGACGUCCAUGUCACCAGAGAUGACACCAAAGUUGAGAACACACUCUUCACCUCGGUGGGCGUCCUGUACCCUCCACAGAGACAGGACAGUCAGUCAACCAUCUCCACCAUUCCAGUGGACGACAACAUUUCCUUCAACCCACCAAGACUUCUCCUUCUCUCCUCGCGUGCGAAAAACAGCGGGACUAUCGCUGCAUCCGUUCGCUCUAACAUUCACGUCAUCAGGUACAACUACGAGAACUCGACCCUUGAUGGCAUUCUGAAACAGACAGCUGAAGUACUAGGAGGAACAAAAGUGGAAAGUAUUGCUUGUGUGAUGCAUAGCUCUGGUGGAAGUAUUUAUGUCUGUUCUGACCGUUUGUUGACUUCGGUGAACAUCAUAGAACAAUCCUCCAUCCGUGACUUCUACAGCACGUUGGUAGAAAACCACCUGGACAGGUCCUUUGUCAAUGCCAGGCUGGACUUCCUGGCCUGCAGUGCUGUUCAGAGUGUGGAGAGUGGUACCAUACUACAGGAGAUGGAGUCCUUGUUAGGAGUGUCCGUUGGAAUGGCAAAAGAUCUGUCAGCAGCAGAAAUCAGCAUGACAGAGAAUAGGAGAAGACAGUUCCACCACAGUUGGGAGUGUACUUCAGAGAAGAUAAACUACAGCAACUGAACGGAUCCAGUCCUCAAACACUCGCCGGGUUUGAAAAGAUUAGAACCGUCGGAAAAGGGGCGUACGGUACGGCAGUAUUGUACCGCAAGAAGGACGACGAUUCUCUGGUCAUUCUGAAAGAAAUCAACAUGCACGACUUAACAGCAUCUGAAAGACAGAUGGCUCUGAACGAAGUCAAAGUCCUAGCGAUGUUAGACCAUCCGAACAUCAUCACAUACUAUGACAGCUUGAGGAAGAUGGGGUUCUGAUGAUUGAGAUGGAAUAUGCGGAUGGAGGACUCUUGCGAAAUACGUUGGCCAAAGGGAAACACCGCUGUCCGGAAAAGGAAAUCCUCUUCAUGUUCCAACAGAUAGUGGCAGCAAUACGGCAUAUUCACGAACACAACAUCCUACACAGGGACCUGAAAACUGCCAACAUCUUUCUCACAAAGGAGGGAGUCAUCAAAGUUGGCGACUUUGGAAUAUCCAAAAUGAUGACGUCAGCAAAUCACGGUGCGAACACAGUACUGGGCACGCCAUACUACAUCUCACCUGAGAUGUGCGAGGGGAAGGCGUACAACGACAAAUCGGACAUCUGGGCGCUGGGGUGUAUCAUGUACGAGAUGGCGUGCUUACACAGAACAUUUGAGGGCUCCAAUUUACCCGCGCUGGUGAAUAAGAUCAUGAACGGACAGUUUGCUCCAGUGAAGGGGAACUACAGUCAUGAGUUUAAGGACCUGAUACAGGACAUGCUGCAGAGGGAGCCUCAGUACUGACCGUCUGCUAACGAGCUGCUGUAUCACAGGCUACCAGAGCUCAUGGCAAGGUAUGAGGAGGGGGCCACAGAGUGGGAGGAUGAGUUGUCUUCAUCCCUGGAUGGUUCCAAACAACUCGCCAGCAGCAAGCGGCGUAGGACUCGAUCUGUGCUUGUCUACCUGGACACGUGUGCCAUGACACUCACACCGAUCGAGCUUCCAGCCAAGAUCAAGAUCAGACAGGUUGCUGUGGGUUCAGAACACAUGGUGGUCGUGGCUAUGGAAAGAGCCGUCUACACAUGGGGGGAGGGAAGCAAAGGCCAGUUGGGUCACGGGGACCUUCUGGGUCGUAGCAAGCCAGAAAUGGUGGAAGCGUUGAAGGGGAAGUCUAUCGUGCGAGCGUGCUGUGGGGAUGGUUUUAGUGUGUUUGUCAGUGACAAUGGGAUCGUGAUGACGUGUGGGGACGGCAGUAAUGGCUGCCUGGGGCAUGGUGAUUGGAUGAGCGCUUCACGGCCACGACUGAUCGAGCCUCUCCUAAGCGUGGACGUUCGUGCCAUCUCGUGCGGACCGCACCACGUGGUCGCGGUGGGGAGCGACGGCGAGGUGUUUGCGUGGGGUCGCGGGCGGCACGGCUGCCUCGGGCUGGGAGACGAGGAAGACCACUUCUCUCCGCAGGAGGUCCAAAUCAGCGAACCUGUCUUCAUCAGGGAGGUCAAGUGUGGCGUGGACGGCACCAUGUUUCUCACAGACAUGGGCAGCGUCCUGGCAUGUGGCAACAACGAGAGUAAUAAACUAGGGUUGAACCAUCGGCAGGGUUUCCUGAGAGCCAUGAAGAACCUGCUACAGAAAGUGGAAGUCCCGGGGAGGAAGGUGCCGACUGUUGUCCGAGCCCUGACCAACCACAGAGCCAUCGACAUGGCCGUCGGACCUCACCACACAUCAGUACUGGUGGAGCCUGGCAAGGUCUACACCUUCGGGAGGAACAUGGAGGGACAACUCGGGACCGGCCACACCAAGCCGAGAGAUGCACCAAUGGAGGUCAAAGACCCUGGGAUAUCAGACAAAACAGUCACCAUGCUGGCCUGUGGAGACAUGUUCACCGCAGUGGGAAUCAACUCAGAGAACGCCUUGUUCUUCUGGGGAACCCGGUACCGCCCGAAAGAAAAACCAGAAGAAAACAACAACCAAUCAGCUGAAGGAGGAGGCACCGGGGAAGAACAGGACCUCACUCCCAUUGGACAUCGCCGAAACUCUAGCAACAUCUCCAUCACUAGUGCUGGGAGUGUGAAUAACAUAGCCGUGGAGACGAGAGCGCACACGCCUACACAGGACACUAACAGACUGUCCGUCAGUUCUGCAAGUUCUGUUCAAAGACCGGUGUCUAGUUCUUCUCUGAACGCAGAUAACGUGAGUGGAGAUGGUGUAGACAGUAGGGAGACAAGAGGUAGAUCUGCCAAACGACACAGUUCCCACAGCAGUAUCGGCAGCAUUAGUCUGGGUGACAAGGAGACAGAGCUCAUAACCACACCUACGCCAAUCCUGCGCUGUGACUCCAUCAUCGGGACGGGAGGCACGCCCGGCGCCGAACCAAUCCCACUCACGCUCACCCACGUCGUGGCCCACGGACAGAACCUGUUUGUCCAGGUGGAGACAGCCGCACCGCCACCCCGCAAACGAACGCGGAAAAAACGGUCCUUUAAAAAGAAAAUGGGACCAAACCUGGAAGUCCCGCCUCGAAAUCUGCACCAUUCCGCAUCUAGUAAUGAUGCGGGGGAUGAGUACACCAGCUCUGAGGCCUCAGAAUACGACACACAGGGAACUAUUCCAACAUGGAUCAAGAACGAGCUGAGCACGUCAGCACUGGUUAGUCAGGAUGAACAAGACGCAGAUGAGAGUGAUGAUGGAGGUGUCACUGAUGAUGAUGCUCUAACAGAGACAGAAGCCUCCGGGAAUGACAGCAUUGUAUCUGUAGAAACUAGUAUCCAGAUUAACAAAGAACUGAAAAACAAGGACGGGAUGAAAACUGUUCGAGCUGAUUGGAACCCUAAACCCUCCACUCCGGUGGGAAGAGCAAAGGCAAAAGACGGCUCUCUGGUGCUAGGUGAAGACAAGAAUCAAAUCAAACGUGUGUCUACUGAGAGUAGUGUGGAUACUUUUGCUGCGGAUGAAAUGGAUCACCUUUCCAGCUCAGACUCUUCUGAACAAAUGGCAGUGGCGCUUAGAAACGCGUCUGAAGUCACCAAAAACACUGAGGGAAAUCUCCAGGCGAGAAAGAAGCUGUCCCUUCCCACCGUCACCACCAAGGAGGGGAAACUGGCGCCACCGUCUUCGUACCGCGGGCAGGAGGGAAUGAAGCGGGUCGGCCCGAUGCCCGGUGUGCAGCGGCCGCUAAACCGUCUACGUGCAGGCCGUAGUCGAGGCCGAGCGGGCGCUCUCGUUCCAACCGUGAGCGAGCCACCAGGCGGCCUGGGCAAACCGGCCGCCAAGCCCAUGUACAAAACCAAGGACACCUUAAUAACAGAGGUGGAGAGGCUGAAAGAAGAGAAGCAGCGAGCGGAGGAACAGUUAGAGAGGGUUCAGGAGACCUACAAAGCACAGCAACAAAAACUGGAACAAGAACAGCAACAAGUGGUGGAGGAACGGGAACGCAAACUGCAAGAGGAAAUUGAAAUCCUUCGUCAAGAGUUGACUAUUCAGAGUAAUGCACUGAAGGAGAAUCAGAAUAUUAUGAUGAGUUUGCAGGACCAGUUGGUGAGGGUACAGUCAGAACAGCUGAGGGCCAACGCAAGAGAGAAGAGGGCGGCAAGCGCCCGGUCUCAGCCUAUCAGCUCUCCUCUCAAGAAACCAGAAAGAGUCAUGCAGGCACAGUUUGGACCCGGCCUUCAGCACGGAAGCAUCGCCGCGACUCGCUCUACCACAGCCCGUCAGAAAUUAUGUCUCCCCUGCCCGUACUGUUCCUGUAUAUCUACACGGUGUGCGUGUCGGCGGCGUGUCCCAGCCAACACUACGACUCCAGCGGCGCGUGCUGCUCGCAGUGCCCGCCAGGUGAGGGGGUGAGCACGCCCUGCACGGACGGGAACGGCACGGGCUGCACGGCGUGUGUUCCCGGGCUGACCUUCUCCAACUCCCGCUCACACACCGAGGCCUGUCACGAGUGCUCCACCUGCGGGCCCAACAUGGAGGUCGCGUCUGUGUGUAACAGAACUCACGACACCGUGUGUGAGUGUUCGGCUGACUUCUACUGGGAUCCGGAGACUGAACAGUGCGAGCGGUGUCAGAUCUGUCCGCCCGGGUUCGGCGCGCUGGAGGCCUGCAGUCCCCGGCAGGACUCCGGCUGUGUCGCCUGCCCCAACAUGACGUACUCUGACGUGGACAGUCCCCGCGCACAGUGCCUGGCGUGUACCAGGUGUACAGACAACCAGGUCAUGCUGCAAACUUGCACGUCUAUAUCGGACACCAUCUGUUUAGAUAAGAACAUGCCCCAGCUGAUCGGUGGAAAGGUGGGCAGGACGACGCCCGCAGACGGCCUGUUGACGCUGAAGGACGCCUCUGGACAGAACAUCAUCCCGGUGUACUGCACCAUCAUGGGCGCUGUGGUGGUCGGACUCAUCGUCUAUGUGGCCGUCAAACGGUGGAAGACUUGCCACAGACCGCAGACCACCAAGUCUGCCGCCCAGCCUCACGAUGUAGAAGCUCAGAAGCACCAGAACAACGACAGCGGCGUGUGUGUGGAUCCCUGCACCAGUCCCACCAGUGGGAAGACUCGAGUCAGUGAGCUGUCUGCCGGCCGUGUCCGUGACCUCGUCUUCACGCUGAGUCUGCAGCAUCCGGUAAACUGGCGCCAUCUGGCGACUGAGCUGGGGUACGACAUCGCCGCCAUCGAUGAAUUCGAGCAGGGAACAACAACGGUCCGGGAGCAGCCAAAGCCUUUCUCGUUCAUUGGAGUAGAAUGGAGAACGCCACAGUUGAGAACUUGUGCGAGGCGUUGAGAGCCAUAGGUAGACAGGACGUAACAGGACUGCUCCAAGAGUGCAAUAUGGGCCGACACCUAGUGUAGACUAGACGUACUUUGUACCGGAAGCUAAACAUCAUGUUAGGCCACACCGACUUAAUUUUAUGGAUGACAUCCGCAUUGAUUUUUCGCCUGUUCUCCAAA